CACUUCGUUCAACGGUUACUCACAUUCCGUGAAAACUUACCCACCGACACACGACGAUUCUCGAUUGGUCGACUGACAGGCUAGUUCGCAACGCACACUAUUCCAACAGUAUUGUAAUGGCUGCUCCACAAUCUGCGCAGCUACGCCAGCGACAUCUAUAGAUCGCGCUAAUCAAGAAAAGAGCGUGUAAUUUAAAUUUAAAAAGGGUACCAGCCCCAUAACCAGGAUUAUGUGAUCCGAUUUGGAGUUUCGAUCAAUGUUGGAAGUGAAACGAAUGCGUUUAGAUGAUUAACACGCUAAUUUAAUGUAUAUCGAACAUUAUGUAAAUAUUAAACUAUUAAUAACAAUGUAAAGAAAAGAAAAACAAAAGGUAAAAAAUUUGUUGUUUAAAUUUUGGUCAAUAAUUGUUCUGGGUAUAUAGUUUUGUCUUUGCAAUAAAUAGAUCAGAAAGUCAUAAAAUUGGAGAGAAUUUGAUCGAUAGAAAUUUUUAUUGUUAAAAUUGUAUAAUAUUGAAAAUAUUUUCUGUAUUAAGAGAUAUUAAAUAAACAAGUUCUAUCUACAUGUAUCUUCGUACAAUAUAAAGUUUCAUGUAUAAUUCAA